AUUCAAACAAUUAUUUCUGUUUACCAUAUUUCAAAGUAUUUAUAUGAAACUUAAAUUUUUAAAAUAUAAAUUUGAAUAUAAUAUUAAAUUUUAAAUUUAAAAGUGAAAUUUAAAUUAGAGGAAUUUCAUAUUACUAUUUAAAGAUUAAAUUCAAUGAUCAUAUUGUCAAAUUAUUUGAAAAUUUUCUUAUAUGAAAUGCCAAAUUAUGAAAGGAACGAUAGAGAGAGAAAAAGGAAACAAAGAAAAAAUAAAAAUUUUGAAAAUAUAGUAGAUGUAAAAUGACUAAAUUGCCCAUAUAUUAAAAGACAAAAAUAUCCUUUUUUGAGGUACCUGGUAACCGGUACCUCUCCCAAAGUGAUCUGCUAUUGCAGGUCACAAUUUAAAAAAAAACUAAAUCUGAACCGUUGAAUACGCGUGAAUGAACGGUAACAAACAAAAAAAAGUAUAGAAGCAUUACUCUCUCUCUCUCUCUCUCUCUAUAUAUAUAUAUAUAUAUAGAGUCCGGCUAUGGUGCUUGUAAAAGCACCAAGCACUUGGUGCUUGUAAAUUUUUUACCGUUAGAUCUACAUCUUUGAUCAUUUUCAUUCGUUAGAUCAUACUAUUAAACCAACCACCCACUCAACCCUAGGGGGCCCAUAUCAUUCUAACCGCACAUUCCUUAAUCCAAAGGCCGAAAACUUACAAGCACCAAUGACUUGGUACUUUUAAAAGCAUAGGAGUUCAAUUCUAUAGAUAUAUAUAUAUAUAUAUUUAUUUAUUUAUUUAUAAGU
rnacentral:lncRNA from 1 species